UAAUGCGUCGGAGUGCCGAGUAGUGGGGGAUAACUAUCCGAAAGGAUAGCUAAUACCGCAUACGCUUUGAAGGAAAGCAGGGGAUCGCAAGACCUUGCGCUAUUCGAGCGGCCGACGUCUGAUUAGCUUUGGUGAGGUAAGAGCUCACCAAGGCGACGAUCAGUAGCGGGUCUGAGAGGAUGAUCCCACACUGGGACUGAGACACGGCCCAGACUCCUACGGGAGGCAGCAGUGGGGAAUUUUGCAAUGGGCGCAAGCCUGAUCCAGCCAUGCCGCGUGUCUGAAGAAGGCCUUCGGGUUGUAGGACUUUUGUCAGGGAGGAAAUCCCUAGCGCUAAUAUCGCUGGGGGAUGACAGUACCAAGAAUAAGCACCGGCUAACUACGUGCCAGCAGCCGCGGUAAUACGUAGGGUGCAAGCUAAUCGGAAUUACUGGGCGUAAAGCGUGCGCAGGCGGUUGUGUAAGUCUGAUGUGAAACCCGGGCUUAACCUGGGAACUGCAUUGGAGACUGCACGGCUAGAGUGCGUCAGAGGGGUAGAAUUCCGCGUGUAGCAGUGAAAUGCGUAGAGAUGCGGAGGAAUACCGAUGGCGAACAGCCCCCUGGGAUGAUACUGACGCUCAUGCACGAAAGCGUGGGGAGCAAACAGGAUUAUACCCUGGUAGUCCACGCCCUAAACGAUGUCAACUAGCUGUUGGGGGUUUGAAUCCU
rnacentral:rRNA from 1 species